rnacentral:rRNA from 1 species
CCCUUAGAUGUUCUGGGCUGCACGCGCGCUACACUGAUACCUUCAGCGAGUCCAGCACCUUGCCUGGGAAGGUGGGGUAACCUCUGGAAAGUGUAUCGUGAUGGGGAUAGAUUAUUGUAAUUAUUAAUCUUCAACGAGGAAUUCCUAGUAAGCAUGUGUCAUCAGCCCGUGCUGAUUACGUCCCUGCCCUUUGUACACACCGCCCGUCGCUCCUACCGAUUGGGUGUGCUGGUGAAAUGUUCGGAUCGGCCGUUUGUCGCGGUUUCCGCGUCAUGUGGCUGAGAAGUUCAUUAAACCCUCCCACCUAGAGGAAGGAGAAGUCGUAACA